GCCUUUCUCUUGUGCUCCAGCUCUAUCAGCCCUCAUGUUGUGCCUUAGUUUCUUAAAUCUCCUUGACUUUUCUCAUGCAGACUGCUCAUCCAGGAAUUGAUUCUCUCCAUAAAGUCGUCACACUCGUUUUCCAGAGCAUAUUCAUCUUUCAGCACAAAGGAAGACUUCUCCAGGAAGCAAUUCCUACCUAAGCCUCUAGGUUGAAGAGGAGCCCCCUUCUCUGCUCCAGUGUCAUAGCUCCAUGACCAAACCAACGGAAGCCUUCUGAAGUCAGGUAUCUUAGCUAGGGCGGCUAUUGCUGUGAUGAAACACCAUGACCAAAAGGUGAAGAAACUGAAAUUCAGAAUCUCUCUCAAGAGCCCACUUUAUGGGGAAGGGAGCAAGCCAGGUUUGCAUCCAGGUCUAUUCAACACGGAAGUCUGGACUUUCAAGCUCUGGAUUAUAUAACUUCCCUCGAGGCCACGUGUGUGAAAAACCCAUUAUAACCUAAAAAGUGGGUACUUAAUAAUAGGUCGGUCUUGUGAUGUUCUAUAAUUUUUGUACAAUUUGGACAAUGUCUCUCUUUCCCGAGUUCCAAGAUUAUUGCGUUGGCCAUUGUGUUCCAGUGUGUAACACAGAGUAAACUGCCCAAGAUCAUUGCUGAACGAG
rnacentral:lncRNA from 1 species